AGUGAAUAGAUACCCGGGUAGUCCACGCUGUAAACGAUGAGUACUGGGUGUCGCGGGUAGUUGACCCCUGCGGUGCCGUAAGCUAAACGCGUUAAGUACUCCGCCUGGGGAUUACGGUCGCAAGAUUAAAACUCAAAGGAAUUGACGGGGGCCCGCACAAGCGGUGGAGCAUGUGGUUUAAUUCGACGCAACGCGAAGAACCUUACCUGGGCUAGACAACGGUGGACCGCUCCAGAGAUGGAGCUUUCCCUUCGGGGACUGCCGGUUCAGGUGCUGCAUGGCUGUCGUCAGCUCGUGUCGUGAGA
rnacentral:rRNA from 1 species